UACAGAGGUGGCAAGCGUUGUUCGGAAUUACUGGGCGUAAAGGGCGCGUAGGCGCCUUCUAAGUCAGACGUGAAAUCCCCAGGCUUAACUUGGGAACUGCGUCUGAUACUGGAAGGCUUGAGUGCGGGAGAGGGAUGUGGAAUUCCAGGUGAGCUGGUGGAAAUGCGUAGAUAUCUGGAGGAACACCAGUGGCGAAGGCGGCUCACUGGCCCGGUACUGACGCUGAGGUGCGAAAGCGUGGGGAGCAAACAGG
rnacentral:rRNA from 1 species